rnacentral:rRNA from 1 species
AUUGAACGCUGGCGGCAGGCUUAACACAUGCAAGUCGAACGAGUGGCGGACGGGUGAGUAAUGCUUGGGAAUCUGGCUUAUGGAGGGGGAUAACUACGGGAAACUGUAGCUCAUACCGCGUACCCUAGGGUGAGUCCAAGUGGGAGUUGGUAGUUGGUGAGGUAAAGGGUCACCAAGCGGAACAUCUCUAGCUGGUCUGAGAGGAUGACCAGACAGACUGGGACUGAGAAACGGCCGAGACUGCAAUGGGAGGCAGCAGGGGGGAAGAUGGGGCAAUGGGGGAAACAUGUUGCAGCCAUGGCGCGUGAAUGAAGAAGGCAUGCGGGGUGUAAAGUUCUUGCGGUAGCGAGGCGUUAACUACAGAAGAAGCACCGGCUAACUCCGUGCCAGCAGCCGCGGUAAUUC